rnacentral:ribozyme from 1 species
AAUUAGAGAAAGAUGAAAUUUGUGUGAACGUUCCGUCGAAAAUGAGAAUGGCAAAGUAUGUAAUGAAACUCUGAAUUCGCCUCCCUCUUGGUUUUUUCUUUUUCUCGGAUUUUGUUUCGCUUUUUGUUUUUUUUUUUUUUUCUCUC